UACGUAGGGAGCAAGCGUUGUCCGGAAUCAUUGGGCGUAAAGAGCGUGUAGGCGGCCCGAUUAGUCCGCUGUGAAAGUCCAGGGCUCAACCCUGGGAUGCCGGUGGAUACUGUCGGGCUAGAGUACGGAAGAGGCGAGUGGAAUUCCUGGUGUAGCGGUGAAAUGCGCAGAUAUCAGGAGGAACACCUAUAGCGAAGGCAGCUCGCUGGGACGUUACUGACGCUGAGACGCGAAAGCGUGGGGAGCAAACAGGAUUAGAAACCCGGGUAGU
rnacentral:rRNA from 1 species